rnacentral:tRNA from 1 species
GCAAUGGUAGUACAGUGGUAGAAUUCUUGCCUUCUAUGCAAGAGACCCAGGUUCAAUUCCUGGCUAAUGCA